UAGUGGCAGAGGAAACUUACAGUGAUGUUUUUUUUAAUUGGAUUUCUCUAAAAAGCCCUUACAAAAGUUAUUUGCAUAGUUUUAUACCGUCGCCUACUGAAGUUAUCUACGGCUACAGAUACCCCAAACAAUGACAUAAAUGAAUUGAAGAAAUAUAAGAAAAGACUAGGAUAAGGCAUAAAAAGAUCGCGCGACAAUAAAUAGGAUUUGCCUUUUAAAGAGGCUGUACCGCUCCCACAGCUGUACAUGACUUUUAACUUAAUAUGAUUAACUUCACUAUGAUUAAUAGUAAUAAUGCGUAACCCAGGGAUCAUUAUUUGCUUUUCAAAAUGAAUUACUGAACCAAUCGUGAUUUGAACCUGUGACCCAUUGCACAGAAGAAAGUCGCUGCUCUACCAACUCAGCUAAACGAGUAAUCCACAAGCACAUGGUUAAGUAUUGACAAGAGGCAGACAACACUCCAGAUCAGGCUCCAGAUGAUAAUAAUAUUGUUUCAAUACCAUCCUCUUCUGUGCUGGAAACUCAGGUCUAUGAUUUGGAUGUUGGCAUCAUGAGAUCGCUGAUAUCCCAAUCAGCUGGACCACUGACUUCUCUAUCUAUAUAUAAAUGGUACAGAAGAAGAAUGUAUAGAAACUGGCCACCAUGAUCAAAUAGAGCCUCAGGAAACAGGGGAAGGGGACAAGGUAGUGCAGGAGACCGAUGAAGAACAAGGGGGAGUAAUAGUUCAAGAGACAGGACAGGAGAAAGGGCAAGAGCCGGAGGGGGAAACACACGUUAGAUAUGAAGAUCAUUCGAUACAGGUGAAAAGAGAAAGAAUACACUCAAUUUUCAUGGAAGAGAUUACAUUAGAAGAAAAAUGUUUAAAAGUGAGGUGUUUGAUUACGUUGUGGUUUGAUUUGUGGGGUUUGGCAGAAGUUAUUUGGGAUUACAUUCCUGUUUUUCCAGACACCCUGUCAAAUACUUGGAGGCCCAACACCUUAAUAGAUACCAACAAAAAGUGUAAAGACUUUAUACCACUUUCCAUAGGGGAACGUACAGCUUACCAGUCCACAGCAAAUGGAAAUUGCAUUUAUAAUGCAGUGUCCAUUAUCCUCUAUGGAAAUGAAGAUAUGGCUGUGGUACUGAAGCUGGCUUCAGUGCUGAAAAUGGUGGACGAUAUAGUACCAUUUUCAAAAUAUAAGAAUUUAAAGAGAAAACUAUCUGUGGGUUAAAUCUACCCUGCUGCAGGUAAAUGCAGCCUCAACAGCAGAGGAGGUAGAGUAUGGAUGCCGAAAAGAGCUGGUCUCGACUAUUCAACAUCCAUACAGGGAAGGAACUGUUUUCCAUCUACAUCUAUUGUCCCAUUUGAUGUCACGUCCAAUACAACAGCACUGCAAAAAAAUACCAGCAGUACCUGCAACUGAUCCUGCCACCGCUGACACCCCCAGCUAGACCAUCAUUUUCACACUUGGUUUGGGUGCCUGCCAAUCCAAGAAAUGCUUUUGCAUCUAUCAACCAUGUGGUUCCAGCUGUUUGCUCAUUGGGACCUUAUGGAAGCAGUAUUGAGGAUUGUGUGUUCCUUGGCCUUGGGUUGUGCUGUUUUAUGGUCAGCCACCACAAGGAUAUAACCCCAGGCUGGGUGGAAUGUACCCUUUGUGGACAGUGGGUUCAUGACACAUGCAUGGGUGUCACUGCAGCAGCCUUUAGCUUGCAGGAUGAUUUCCCAUGUGAAUGUGAUUGCCUGCAAAAUGGAGAGUUAAAACUGAAAAGCAUUGAAUACUACACAACUUUGCAGGUUAAAGACCUGGAUAUGGAUUUCAAUAUGAUAGUCGACAAAGUGGCACAAAUGCACAGCCUGAGAAAAGAGUUUUCCAGGGAAGCAAAUGGAAAACUCAAAUGGGCUUUGAGAAGUGGUCGGUUUGGUCCAUUUACAGACGAGUUUGUUGACACUGAAUACCAGUUUGAUCACAAAUGUUGGAGUAGAAAAGCUCCACCUUAUACCGGAUUUAUAUAUGCCUGAGGUUUGAUACAAGUUCUAUGUGAAAAAGAAGAAAUAAACAGGCUUGUGGAUGAACUGGUUCUUCUGAGACAUAAAUCAUGCUAACCACUGUAUAUCAUUGUUACUUCCAUUUUCAUUUUCAUUUUUUUUUUUUUUUAAACUUUUUUAUCUGUAGUAGAUAUUUGUAGCAAAACAUAUUGAUGAAAAACCUAUAUCUAAAGUGACGAUCCAUAUGUUUAAAUUUGUUUUAUGAUUUUUAAUCUCUAAUAUCUACUUUUUUAUUUAGAAAAUAUUUAUCCUUACCUGAAAAUGUCACUCAAAUUUUUCACACAAAACCUUUUUCGGAACCCAAUAAUUGAUAACAUAUAUAUGACUCAUUUUUGAUUCAGCCAUGCUGGAUCUAUGCGAUCACUCUGUUUUUGUAGAUGGUGAAGACUACUAAGUUGAGGACAUGAUAUUAAACUAAUUAUGUGUUUUUAUGACUUGCAGAAAUUUUCUGCACCAUUUUAAUCAUGAACUGUCCUUAAAUCAGGAAAAGAUUGGUCGAACAACCCUUUUAUUUUAGAUAUACACUUGCAUAUAGUUCCUUUGUAAAUCAAAAUUUAUAAUGAUUUACUAGUUAUGAAUUAAUUUGAAAAAGUAUUUGUACAUCAAUUGAAUCAGUUGAUAAGAAUUUUAAAAGUAUUAUGUUAGUAUCUUAUGCUUGUGUAAGUUGUUGUUCAAUGAAAUGUAGGUCAACAUCUGUAUUAAUAUAUAUCAGUUAAUUCCCACACUUUUUUUGAAAUGGUAUUACUCCAAUUCUUUCCAAAGGCAAGUAAGAGUCAGUAUGAUUAUCAACUGUCAUGAAUUUUAAAUAAUUACAAUCAAAGGUGUAAGUAUUAAAUGGAAACGACCCCAGCCUUAAUUCACCACAGUUAAUGUCUCAUGACCUGUUACAUAAUUAAAUAGACACAAUUUAUUACACACCGAACUGAAUACACACAUUCUCAAUAGUAAACCUAAAAAUGUAUUUAUUUAUUUUAAUCUACAAUAAAAUAUUCUGUUAGUUUAUGCUAGCUAGCUGAAUGAUUAAUCAGAUGUGGGUUUUUUUCAAAGAAAAGACAAAAAAUUCAAAAAAUAUGUAUCAAAAAUGCAAGCUAAUUUUAUUUCACUUGUAAAAUCAGAGUGUCAUUAUCAUCUGACAUAAGUCAAUAAUCAAGUUCAAAUUAAUUAGUUGCAAUUAUCAGAAAUUUGGUUGAAAUAAUAUACAAAAUUGCAUAACUCUUACUUGAGCAUUUUCUGCAAUAAAAUUUAUUUGUU